GAUGAACGCUGGCGGCGUGCUUAACACAUGCAAGUCGAACGACGAAAGCGGGAGCUUGCUCCUGCUGGAUUAGUGGCGAACGGGUGAGUAACACGUGAGUAACCUGCCCUUGACUCUGGGAUAAGCGUUGGAAACGACGUCUAAUACCGGAUACGACCUUCGGAGGCAUCUCCUGGGGUGGAAAGAAUUUCGGUCAAGGAUGGACUCGCGGCCUAUCAGCUAGUUGGUGAGGUAAUGGCUCACCAAGGCGACGACGGGUAGCCGGCCUGAGAGGGUGACCGGCCACACUGGGACUGAGACACGGCCCAGACUCCUACGGGAGGCAGCAGUGGGGAAUAUUGCACAAUGGGCGCAAGCCUGAUGCAGCAACGCCGCGUGAGGGACGACGGCCUUCGGUUGGUAAACCUACUUUAGUAGGGUAAGAAGCGAAAGUAGACGGUACCUGCAGAAAAGCACCGGCUAACUACGUGCCAGCAGCCGCGGUAA
rnacentral:rRNA from 1 species